UACGGAGGGUGCAAACGUUGCUCGGAAUCAUUGGGCGUAAAGCGCACGUAGGCGGCCUGUUAAGUCGGAUGUGAAAGCCCCGGGCUCAACCCGGGAAGUGCAUUCGAAACUGGCGGGCUUGAAUAUGGAAGAGGGUCGCGGAAUUCCCGGUGUAGAGGUGAAAUUCGUAGAUAUCUGGAGGAAUACCGGUGGCGAAGGCGGCAUCCUGGACCGACAUUGACGCUGAACGGCGAAAGCUAGGGGAGCAAACGGG
rnacentral:rRNA from 1 species